UUCCGGUUGAUCCUGCCGGAGGCUACCGCUAUUGGAGUUCGAUUAAGCCAUGCGAGUCGCGAGAAAUUAGAUUCUCGGCGUACCGCUCAGUAACACGUGGGUAACCUGCCCUAUGCUGGAUAAUAACCUCGGGAAACUGAGAAUAAUGAUCCAUAGUUCACUACGCCUGGAACGGUGAGUGGAUGAAAGCUCCGGCGGCAUAGGAUGGGCCUGCGGCGUAUCAGGUUGUAGGGGGUGUAACGUACCCUCUAGCCCUCUACGCGUACGGGUGUUGGGAGACAUAGCCCGGAGAUGGAUUCUGAGACACGAAUCCAGACCCUACGGGGUGCAGCAGGCGCGAAAACUUGGCAAUGCGAGAAAUCGUGACCAGGGAACUCCAAGUGCAUCGGGUAAGACCGGUGCUUUUCUUGACUCUAAAUAGGUCUUGGAAUAAGGGGUGGGUAAGGACGGUGCCAGCCGCCGCGGUAAUACCGGCGCCUCAAGUGGUAGUCGCUUUUAUUGGGCCUAAAACGUCCGUAGCCGGUCUGAUACAUUCGUGGGUAAAUCAACCAGCUCAACUGGUUGAAUUCUGCGAGGACGGUCAGACUUGGGACCGGGAGAGGUGUGGGGUACGCUCAGGGUAGGGGUAAAAUCCUGUCAUCCUGAGCGGACCACCUGUUGCGAAGGCGCCACACUAGAACGGAUCCGACGGUCAGGGACGAAGCCUAGGGGCACGAACCGGAUUAGAUACCCGGGUAGUCCUAGGUGUAAACGCUGUGGACUUGAUGUUGGGGGUGCUCCGAGCACUCUCAGUGUCGAAGCGAAGGUGAUAAGUCCACUGCCUGGGAAGUACGGUCGCAAGGCUGAAACUUAAAGGAAUUGGCGGGGGAGCACCGCAACCUGAGGAUUGUGCGGUUUAAUUGGACUCAACGCCGGGA
rnacentral:rRNA from 1 species